rnacentral:lncRNA from 1 species
UUUUGUUUUGUCUCUUUUUACUCGAAUCAAUCAAACCUAAGAGCUGAGUGAUAGAAAAGACCAGAGAAGUUGGUGUUUUCCUGGAAAGGAGAAGAGAAGACUUUUAAGAGCAGCAGAACCUCUCUUCAUCUCAUGAACCAUGCCACCCGUGCCUGCAAGGGUACAAGCAAAGACAUAUGUGUGCUUAGUUAAUCUUGACAACCUGGUGAUGGCUGGAGAACACUCUGGAGGCCCAAAAAGCCAUCUGUCAUGUGAGCUCAACAGCAAGCUAACCCCACCUGAUGGGUUGGAGCUAACGGCAACAGAGGGCUGCCAAGCCUCCAGCCCCCUGGGAAGAAGCAUGCAUUGUCUCUCAAGAGAACCGUGUGAGAAAGAUGGAGGGCCCCCAGAAGCCUAUACGAUCCGUGGGUCAUGGGUGCAGUUAUCCAGAUGAAAAGAUGUUGAGUCUCUAUGUGGGCAACCAGUGACAACCUUCUUCCAAAUCUGGAUUCAAAAUGAAGCUAAAGAAUCAAGAAGACAAAUGGAAC